GAAAUGCGAUAAGUAGUGUGAAUUGCAGAAUUCAGUGAAUCAUCGAAUCUUUGAACGCACAUUGCGCUUCCUGGUAUUCCGGGGAGCAUGCCCGUUUCAGAAUCAUAAAGAAUCUCAUGUUACCAUAGGGUUGUAUUUCUGCAACCCUGCGAUAGCAUGGAUGUUGGAUGCUUUGCACGGUUAUGUGCAAUCAUCUUUAAACGAAUGUAUGUGUCGCGAUCUUCUGUUUGGAUUGCCGAUUGAAGUGCAACAGCUAGUUCUAUUCUCUUCGAUCAAGCAAUUGGGCAGGGUUGUGCAUGCAUACACCCAUUCAUCACACAGCGGGCGACGCUCUGGCAUCGUUGGCUGAUAACUUGGUCUGAAAUCGGGCAAGAAAACCCGCUGAACUUAA
rnacentral:misc_RNA from 1 species